ensembl:lncRNA
UCCCACCCCAGUCUCUAUUGACCCAGCCAAUCACUGGCAACCAGUGUGAUUGGGAAACUGGCACACUUUCAGGUGCUACGACUUUCUCUUUUCUCAAAGAAGCAAAGAAAAACUUCGGAUAGAGGCAACCAAGUUACAGAAGUUCCCAUAGGUGCUUUGGGGAGAACAGAAGAAUCAGCUGGGCUUUCAGAGUCAAUCAAACAGAAAAGGGUCAGGAAAUCCAACAAGAAUCCAUAGAGGGCACAUGUGCAGAAAAAAAGCUGCAUGCAGUGCUCCACUGGAAAUGCACACUUUCCUUUCCUCUCCUAGGACAGCCAGUGGUGUACAAAGUCCAGGAGAAACGCCUAGGGAGUCAGACCUACGGGUCUGAAAAUACUCUCUGGCAGCGGGACAGCAUGACAGGCAGCAGAAAUAAGCUUAUACUGAGACCCUGCACUGUAGCGCAGAGAAGCGAGCAGAAAUUGCCACUUUCGAUUAGCACAGCAGAAGCAGCAAACUAGUAAUGGGAUUUCUUUCACUUUAAUUCACUAGUUGGUUGCCAUAAAUACUCUUCUGUAAAACAUGGAAUUCUGAAUGCUCCUCAGACAUUAUUUUCCUUUCAUGAAGAUGUUUGUUUACUUUGGCAGUGAUUCUCUUGGGAGAAACUCUAAUGACUUCCACUACCAAAAAAAAAAAAAAAAAAGAAAGAAAGAAAAAAAGAAACAGAAACUGCCACUAGCAAGCAAGAAAAUAUUAGUCUAAUGUACUGGUUAAACCCCAGGCAAAAAGAAGAAAAAGCAGAGUAAAUCACUGGUUUGCAUUCCUGUGACCAGAAUCCAUAUCCUGCAAGUUUAGCAGGCAGUGGAGGCCUUGUGGUGGAAGAAGGACUUUGAAUAAGGAACAAACGCUGCCCAUCUCCUAUGAAUUUUAUGAUUUUUUAGCUUUAAAAAAUGAACACAACAUGGGCACGUGGGCACGGGAACAACAGAACAAAGCGAACCAUGUCAAGCCCUCAUGUUAUGUUUUCUCUCUGCUUUUAAUUUUAUUCUGACAUACGGUGAUCAAACAAUGGUUUAUUUUCCAUAUUUUUUACAUGUAGAUGAUUAACAAUUUCUUUCUUUUAAAGAAAAAAAGCAUGGGGAAAGAACGUACGUUACUGUGACUCAACAGACUGCUCACUGCUGAAAAAGACUUGCCCACCUCCUUUAUAGCAAUGCAUGAGUUUUGUUUUCGGGGUUUAAAAAAAUCAAGAACAGAAAAACAGUAAAUAAAACCCAUUGAUAUAAAUCUUUAGACAUCUUUUUCCUGUGAAAUGUCAAACUUCAUCAUGUGUUUUUCUUACUGAAUAACAACCUGCAGUCCCAGACUGUUUUCCACGUUUCCAUGGGAGGAAGAAGUCAUUAACAAAAAAUCAACUUUAAGGUUAAGAGGAAGCGGCUCUAUCAGAAGCACGUUAGUCAUGUAUUUUUGUUACCAGUUAGAACAAUGUGCUGUUCCUGGAAUGCAUAUGCAGGCUCAUUUCAAAGCUUAGGCUGAUGUAUGAAGCAGACACAUGCCACAGACCACAGACAGGAGACAGUGCUUCUCCCAACAGCCCAACUACAGGUGACAUUGAGACAGACCUGCCAGCAGAGCCCCUGAGAACAGGGCAGGACAGGCAGAGCCACCGAAAUACAGAGCUUGGUAAAAGGUGCCCAGGAACAAACCAGAGAGAAGAUGGGAAAAGAGAGAAGGUAAAAUUGCCAAGAGAAAAAAAAUGUUUUCUUGUAGCUGCAGAGCCUUGGAAGAUGGGUCAAAUGGAGCAGUAAAUCACUGUAAGUGGUGAAAGACCUAUAAAUGUUGUGGGCUCUGGAAAGAAGAGUUUGUUGCAUUACAAGCAGCCACAGAUACUCACUGUGCCGAGCCACUCCACAACAAAAAGGCUUUUUGAAGUUAGUCCUAACUACCUGUAGCUAUGCUUACUUUUAACUGUAACAUGCAAUAAGGAAAAAAAGAAAAGAAAAGAGAAGAGAAGAGAAGAGAAGAGAAGAGAAGAGAAGAGAAGAGAAGAGAAGAGAAGAGAAGAGAAGAGAAGAGAAGAAAAGAAAAGAAAAGAAAAGAAAAGAAAAGAAAAGAAAAGAAAAGAAAAGAAAAGAAAAGAAAAGAAAAGAAAAGAAAAGAAAAGAAAAGAAAAGAAAAGAAAAGAAAAGAAAAGAAAAGAAAAGAAAAGAAAAGAAAAGAAGCCAGAGAAGCAGCUUUUUGCAUUGGAAUGAAAGCAAAGAUAAUUUUUAGCUUAGCAUGUUAUUUGCAGCCCAUACUCAAAAUCACAGCCACUGGGACCUUCCAAAAAAACUAUUGGGAGGGGAACAACAGAUUCUGGAAGCACAGUUAUUUCCUUUUUUAUGUGCUAGGUUCCCAGUAUUCUGGUGUUCGUGGUAAUUUACAAAAUGAGGAAGCACUGAAGUAGCUCUGCAAAGACAUAAAAGUCUACGUAUCAUAGUUUGAUUGUUAUCCAUUUCAUGACUGAUCACAAAUUCCCCACAAUUAUAACACAUCCUUCGUGGUAUCGGAUUAGAAAAAGGUACGGAUUCUACACCAAGAACCUGCAUUUUUAAAGAAGUUAAACCCACAGACUACUCCAAGGAAGAGAGCAUUUCAGCACAAUCCCUUCCAGCUUUUAUAACUACUAAAAGUUUAGAGGUUUUUUUUUGUUCAAGCAGAAAAACAGAAUGAUGGUCCAAAAUUCUGUCUCACACAAUAGUACCAUCUCUCUAACACUGGCCAAUAGCAGGUGUUAUUCUCCUGGUCUUAUGAAAAGGAAAGAACUUAAGCUGUGCACAGCAAUUUCCAGAGGAGGCAAUAACCACUCAGGGGUACAAUUCAGAAGUACUGCCUAGAUGAGUGCUUUCGUGCCACCUAAGUUCCAGCCAGAAGAGGUGCUUUGGAAUCCUUACAGCUUACCAGAUUUGUCUUAAUAAAGCUCAUUGUGAUUUGUCUUUAUGCUUUCUCUUCUCUAGCAUUGCUUGUUUAUCUUGGCACGCAGAAUUUCAUGCACAGUGGAUGAUGCAGAACACAGCAAGAUGAACUCAGAUGGCCACUGUCUUUACUGCGCUGACAAACCCUGGAGAGCUGUUAGCCUCAGUUCCGCACAGGCCUCCCAAAUGAAGUGGACAUCUGGCAUGUUUGUUACAGUGAAUAGACAGAAGCAGGAUGAUUAAUGGCUGCCAGAAUCAUAACUUAGGUAUAUAUGGUUUUACCUGUUCGACAGUUUGUUUUGCCACAUUGUUCAAUGCACGUGUUACAUGCAGUAAUAUUGCACAUGGCCAGAUACCCACCCCUCCUGGUGUUUGCUGUAUCCUCUCAGCCACUUACUGGAGUUGCAUUACUCCUUCUAGCUCCCUCAGCUCAUCCAGGACAGGAGUUCUGCUCUGAAAUCAGAAUGAAGAGCCCAAGCAUCCCACUAUCACCUAAGUUCUGGAAAGGCAAAUCUAGCAGACCUCCAAGCUGCAAACAGUUGAGGUAGCUGAAAGAAGAGGCUAAGCAUGUCAAGCUUCCUACACAUCCAUUUAGGCAUGUGUUUUCAGACAGUCUUUCCUACUGCCCAGCCCAAAAAAGGUCUCCAAAAAGGGGCAGCUAAGAAAAAGGAAAGCAGGGUUACAGGGAAGAACUAAAAAAUAAUGCACUGGAGUGUGAAGGCCACAUGGCCAAAUGGAGAAACUGAGAAGUGGAGAGGAAAAAGAAAACUCCAAGGACUGGGCCCAUGACUUCUUGAAAGGAAAUGAUUUGAUGAAGAAGCUAGAAUUUAUGGCCACAGCAAACAGGAGCUAAGAGCUCAUAGCUCUCAGAGGCAGGAGAAACCAGAUGCACAGCUGGAAGGAUGAGUGGUUUGACUCAGUUAGGCCAUUCUUGCUUGUGUCAGAGUCAAGAAGCCUAUUUGUACCACAAGACCGAUGAGCACCAAAGAGCUCCUGGACAGGAUACAGACAUGAGCUUUCCUCAAAAUCAGCAAGGAGAGAUGAGGUUUCUCUCUCUAAAUGUACCUGUAUUAGGAAAAGAUGAAUCACUUUGGUAGCACCUGUCUCUUGUUUGCAGAUUAGGCAACUAAUUCAGAGUGGAUGCUUAGUUUAUACACAGUUAAAAAUAGAAGAGAUUUCCUCUAUGAAAGUUGUUUUAAUAAGUGUGUAUAACUGGGGCAGAUAGCUACCAUGGCAGAGAUAAGCUGUCACAGAGGAUGUGAGUGCUCUUGUCUUCCAACUGAUUUAAAAGAACUUGUGAACUCCACAACAGCAAGAAUUGGGACUCAAGCAAGGGGACAAACACUACAGUCAAAGAAGUUCCUGCCUUACUUGCUAGCAACAGGCAGCUGGCCAUCGGGGAGAACAGUGCAGCACUACUUCACCAUUGUUAGAUGCCAGCAAAUGCCCCAGGUGCGGGACAGCUUCUGUUCAGGCUUGCACAUAACCAAACAUCAGGCAUGUGACACGAAGGCAAAGGGAAGCUGGAUCCUACCAGUUCUACAGCUCUCUGAAGCCAUGUUUAUGAGGACUGUGCCAUGAAGCAACUCGCUAUUCAGUGAGCAACCAUCACUCGGCUGGCAGCAUUCACUCGGCAUGCAAUCAUCAACAGGGCCUUGAUCUGUACCCUGUUUUUUGCUACUUGUAAGAUGGCUGCAGAGCUCCUGAAACAGAAUGGAUGCCAAUAUAAUGAACAAUUCUGAAAUAUUAACUGAAAUAUAAGAAAAAAGUAGCAAUUAGUCUUCUACGCUGCACAUGUAUUUGCAUGGCAAGCCUGCAAAGUGGCAUAAAUAUCUAAAUAUACACACCCAUGCAGGCUCACUCCUAUAUACAGGAACACGAUCGCACCAAAGAAGACUGUAGACACGUGGAACUAAACAUUUUUCCCUUACAGUUUAUACACAUUUAAUAAACACAUAGAUUUAAUGAUUAAAGCACUGGUUCAGGCCAAACAUCCAUUGGGCAAAUGGAAAGUAGCCACACAGCUUCUGACAGGGGCCACUAAUGGAUGCCUAUGGAGAAGUAGGAUAGGCCAGGCAUACACUGACACUUCUCAAGUGUGCUAUCACUCACUCUGCAGAUGUGCACCACUGUCACCACUGAGUUAAAGCUUUUCCAGCCAACAAGCAGAGGUCCUUUAUUUUGUUCAAGGAUAUCUAGAUCUGCAUUACACCUAUAGCUGCUGAACUACUUACUUGUGUUCAACACUGUUGCUAAAAGCCAUGCUUCCAGAACCAUAAAAAAGGGUAAAAACCCAUGUUUAGCAUUGCCUGUCCAGGAAAUACCACCAAGGGCUAUCCACAUGCAGGCCUAUCCUCAGGCCUGCCUUAGCCUGGGCUUUCCUUGGGUCAGUGGAGGGCGUGGAAGAUGGGCUGCAUGACUCAAAGAGGUCCUAGAACAUGUCCAAAGAAGGGCAGCAGAGCUGGCAAAGGGUCUGGAGUACAGGUCUUGAGAGGAGCGGCUGAGGGAACUGGUUUUGUAGAGGAGGUUCA